rnacentral:lncRNA from 1 species
GCACAGUAGAGCAGGUUAGUCGCACCUGUUGCUCUUCCUCUCUUCUCCCACCCAUCUCUCCUGCUUUGUCCUUUCACCUCUAUGUUUUGCUUUUGCAGUGGCUCCUGACCAAGAGAAGCCAAUACAAGGAGAUGGGCCUGAGCUCCUGAAUAUUCAAAACAUUAGUUUUUCCUUCCCACACAUUACUCAGGAGACCAAGGACUCCAUGGCCAAAAACAAAACAAAACAAACAAACAAACAAAAAACAAAAGGUGAGGUUUCUGGAUGCAUUUUUCUGUCACAGUACCCUAUGCCAUUGGUGUAAGGUGAGUGGACUGAAAAGACUGUCUACAUAGAAUAUGAUUUUUACUACAUAUUCUACUCUUUCUAUCAUCCCUUGAAGUUGUUAUAAACGCUUGUUACAAUUUUCACUCUGUUAUGGAUUCUCCAACUUUACUUAGCUGUGGGGUUCAAUGUUCCUUAGCAUUUAAAUUUAUUUGCAGAUGCGCAUUUUUCACUAUUGGAAAGAAGCAAGAAAAUAUCAGUCUACCAGAUUAGUAAAAUAAGCAGGAGUAAAAUUAUAUACCAUGAAAAUUAGUCAUAGCUGGGGCUGGAGAGAUGGCUCAGUGGUUAAGAGCACUGACUGCUCUUCCAGAAGUCAUGAGUUCAAUUCCCCAGCAACUACAUGGUGGCUCAUAACCAUCUAUUAUGGGAUCUGAUGCCCUCUUCUGGCACAUAGGUGUAUAUACAGAUAGAACACUCAGGCAUAAAAAUAAAUAAAUAAAACUUUAAAAAGUGAUCA